rnacentral:lncRNA from 1 species
CUGGAGUGCUGCUCCUUGUGUGUGUGGGGCUGGGUGGUGGUUGGUGCGGCAGGGCGGCUACUCAGCUGCAGCAGUGCAGGUGCCAUCCUGUGGAAGAACCAUGAAGCACUACGAGGUGGAGAUUCGGGAUGCAAAGACGAGGGAGAAGCUGUGCUUCCUGGACAAGGUAGAGCCUCAGGCCACCAUUUCUGAAAUCAAGACCCUUUUCACCAAGACACGUGAGUCUCCUGACACACCUAUCCUCCCCCCACCCCCAUGCUCCCGAUACAUUACCCCCGCUCCCGACACAUCUACCUUCACUCCUGCCUCCCCUUGGAUGUGACCUGGGCCCGCAUGCCUCCGCAUGCCUCUUCCUCAUCGGCUUGUAGCCUCUCAGCACACUGGAACUGUGAGUGAGGCCCGGCUGACUGGGCAGGCUGCCCCUGUGUGGUCACCAGCAGGAAUGCUCUUGUGCUAUCCAAAGGGGAAGAAAAUCUGUUGCUGCCUAUCCUGUGUGUCCGUGCACAGGGUGGGAGGAGCUGGGGGGUCCUAGAGUUCUGGAAGCCUUGAGAGGCAGGCCAAGUUUGGGGCGUGGGUAGGCUGAACCUUGCCAGAUUAGGUGCUGCAACCCCUGACCUUCUCCUGGCAGACCCGCAGUGGUAUCCUGCCCGCCAGUCCCUCCGCCUGGACCCCAAGGGGAAGUCCCUGAAAGAUGAAGAUGUGUUGCAGAAGCUUCCUGUGGGCACCACAGCUACGCUCUACUUCCGGGACCUCGGGGCCCAGAUCAGCUGGGUGACG